rnacentral:rRNA from 1 species
GCGCAAGCGAAUUAAGGGCGCAUGGGGGAUACCUAGGCUCUCAGAGGCGAUGAAGGACGUGAUAAGCUGCGAAAAGCUACGGGGAUUGGCACAUACAAAUUGAUCCGUAGAUAUCCGAAUGGGGCAACCCAGUACCAUGAAGUGGUAUUACCCUACGGGGGGCAAACGCGGGGAACUGAAACAUCUAAGUACCCGCAGGAGAAGAAAACAAUAGUGA